GACGAACGCUGGCGGCGUGCCUAAUACAUGCAAGUAGAACGCACAGUUUAUACCGUAGCUUGCUACACCAUAGACUGUGAGUUGCGAACGGGUGAGUAACGCGUAGGUAACCUGCCUGGUAGCGGGGGAUAACUAUUGGAAACGAUAGCUAAUACCGCAUAAUAUUGAUUAUUGCAUGAUAAUUGAUUGAAAGAUGCUAUUGCAUCACUACCAGAUGGACCUGCGUUGUAUUAGCUAGUAGGUGAGGUAACGGCUCACCUAGGCGAGGAUACAUAGCCGACCUGAGAGGGUGGACGGCCAAAAUGGGAAUGGGACACGGCCCAGACUCCUACGGGAGGCAGCAGUAGGGAAUCUUCGGCAAUGGACGAAAGUCUGACCGAGAAACGCCGCGUGGGUGAAGAAGGGUUUCGGAUCGGAAAGAUCUGUUGUAAGAGAAGAACGGGUGUGAGAGUGGAAAGUUCACACUGUGACGGUAUCUAACCAGAAAGGGACGGCUAACUACGUG
rnacentral:rRNA from 1 species